CACUCCUACGGGAGGCAGCAGUGGGGAAUUUUGGACAAUGGGCGAAAGCCUGAUCCAGCAAUGCCGCGUGAGUGAAGAAGGCCUUCGGGUUGUAAAGCUCUUUUGUCAGGGAAGAAACGGUGAAAGCUAAUAUCUUUUGCUAAUGACGGUACCUGAAGAAUAAGCACCGGCUAACUACGUGCCAGCAGCCGCGGUAAUACGUAGGGUGCAAGCGUUAAUCGGAAUUACUGGGCGUAAAGCGUGCGCAGGCGGUUUUGUAAGUCUGAUGUGAAAUCCCCGGGCUCAACCUGGGAAUUGCAUUGGAGACUGCAAGGCUAGAAUCUGGCAGAGGGGGGUAGAAUUCCACGUGUAGCAGUGAAAUGCGUAGAUAUGUGGAGGAACACCGAUGGCGAAGGCAGCCCCCUGGGUCAAGAUUGACGCUCAUGCACGAAAGCGUGGGGAGCAAACAGGAUUAGAAACCCCUGUAGUCCCAUGA
rnacentral:rRNA from 1 species